rnacentral:rRNA from 1 species
UACGUAGGGGGCAAGCGUUGUCCGGAUUUAUUGGGCGUAAAGAGCUCGUAGGCGGUUCCGUAAGUCGAGUGUGAAAAAUCUGGGCUCAACCCAGUGGAGCACUCGAUACUGCGGUGACUAGAGUACGGUAGAGGAGUGUGGAAUUCCUGGUGUAGCGGUGAAAUGCGCAGAUAUCAGGAGGAACACCGGUGGCGAAGGCGGGUCUCUGGGCCGUAACUGACGCUGAGGAGCGAAAGCGUGGGGAGCGAACAGG